rnacentral:rRNA from 1 species
UACAGAGGGUGCGAGCGUUGUUCGGAAUUAUUGGGCGUAAAGAGCGUGUAGGCGGCCAGGUAGGUCUGCUGUGAAAACUCGAGGCUCAACCUCGAGACGUCGGCGGAAACCAUCUGGCUAGAGUCCGGAAGAGGAGAGUGGAAUUCCUGGUGUAGCGGUGAAAUGCGCAGAUAUCAGGAAGAACACCCGUGGCGAAGGCGGCUCUCUGGGACGGUACUGACGCUGAGACGCGAAAGCGUGGGGAGCGAACAGG